GCCGCCGGUGAGCAGGGGUCUGCGAGCGAGGUCAGUGGCCCCAUGUCUCUCUACCCCCCUUCGCCCUCCCCAAGGGGCCCCUCGGCGCUCGGGGACUCGUCCGGGCUCCGCGGGGCGGCUCCUUUGAUCUGGCGGCCACCCCGCCCUCAGUCCCCGCCACUGUCGCCGUCGCGGCCCCAAGCGAAUUCCUGUCCCGGGAAAGUUGCGGUCCCACGAGGGGCUGCUGAGGGGCGAGAAGGCUGCGGCGCCACAGGAGCGCUCCUCGACAGCGCGGGCGACAGCCUCCCAAACUAGCCCGGGCCUCACAGGCAGGGACGCGCGACUGACCGGCGGCGAGCGGUGGGAGACUUUGGAACUUAGGCAAAAGUGUGCGUGCAGCCAGCUUUUAGGACUGUCAGACCCAGGAGACCACACAAGCCACAGUCCCAGAACAGCGGGUGUGCUGUGGUGGGGUAAGCCUGAGUGCAGGGGUCGGAGGAUCCGUCCUGCAGCUGGUGUCGCUGAUCCUUAGGACAGCCCAGCCCUUUCGGCCAGACCUUCGGGUUGGAUCUUCACAGUAAGCCACUCACUGAACGGCGACCUUUGGGCAACUAGAAUUCCGGAGCAGUGGCUUAGACCAGGUGGUAGGAUGAGAAUAGGAGAGAAUGAAAUCAAGGUGAUACCUACCUGGGAUGGCGGGAGGAGGGAGCCUGGAAGCGAACCUGGGGGCAGUGGAGAGGGUGGCUAUUAUGACCAAGCUGUGGUCUACGACUGCUCAGGGGUGCCUGAAGUAGAGUGGAAAUCUCAGAGCUGCGCUGGGUUUUGUUUUGUUUUGCUUUUACUUGGUCUUGUUUUGAAAUUACCCCUGCUCUCCACAGCAGCAGAAUUGAAUGGUGACGCAUUGCAUUGGGUGACAGCCUGCUUGUGGGGUCCUGUCAAAGGGGUUGAAUAUUGGCAGUUUCGCAUGAUCCAAAUUAAGAAGAUGGCUGCCUGGUACGUGAUAAACACCGAGAACAGAAUUUUAGCCAGGGAGCGGCUUCUAAAUUAAGCUGAAUUCACCGGACUAAAGGUUAAGCUUUACAUUUAAAAAAAAAAGUUUAUUUAUUUUAUGUAUAUGCGUAUACUGUCGAUGUCUUCAGACACACAACAGAGGAAGACACUGGAUCCCAUUACAGAUGGUUGUGAGCCACCAUGUGGUUGCUGGGAAUUGAACUCCGGAUCUCUGGAAGAGCAGCCACUGAGCCAUCUCUCCAGCCCCCUCUUUUUUUUUUUUUUCUUUUUGGUAUAAAUAUUUUCACAUCUACCGCCAAUAUUUUAGCCAUACUUUUGACACUUUUUACCAGAUUAAAAGUGACUUUGAAGAUAA